rnacentral:rRNA from 1 species
GACGGAACGCUGGCGGCGCGCCUAACACAUGCAAGUCGAACGAGAGAGAAGGAGCUUGCUUCUUCGAUCGAGUGGCGAACGGGUGAGUAACGCGUGAGGAACCUGCCUCAAAGAGGGGGACAACAGUUGGAAACGACUGCUAAUACCGCAUAAGCCCACGGGUCGGCAUCGACCUGAGGGAAAAGGAGUGAUCCGCUUUGAGAUGGCCUCGCGUCCGAUUAGCUAGUUGGUGAGGUAACGGCCCACCAAGGCGACGAUCGGUAGCCGGACUGAGAGGUUGAACGGCCACAUUGGGACUGAGACACGGCCCAGACUCCUACGGGAGGCAGCAGUGGGGAAUAUUGCACAAUGGGGGAAACCCUGAUGCAGCGACGCCGCGUGGAGGAAGAAGGUCUUCGGAUUGUAAACUCCUGUUGUUGGGGAAGAUAAUGACGGUACCCAACAAGGAAGUGACGGCUAACUACGUGCCAGCAGCCGCGGUAAAACGUAGGUCACAAGCGUUGUCCGGAAUUACUGGGUGUAAAGGGAGCGCAGGCGGGAAGACAAGUUGGAAGUGAAAUCUAUGGGCUCAACCCAUAAACUGCUUUCAAAACUGUUUUUCUUGAGUAGUGCAGAGGUAGGCGGAAUUCCCGGUGUAGCGGUGGAAUGCGUAGAUAUCGGGAGGAACACCAGUGGCGAAGGCGGCCUACUGGGCACCAACUGACGCUGAGGCUCGAAAGUGUGGGUAGCAAACAGG